CGGGUAAGUUCCGACCUGCACGAAUGGCGUAAUGAUGGCCAGGCUGUCUCCACCCGAGACUCAGUGAAAUUGAACUCGCUGUGAAGAUGCAGUGUACCCGCGGCAAGACGGAAAGACCCCGUGAACCUUUACUAUAGCUUGACACUGAACAUUGAGCCUUGAUGUGUAGGAUAGGUGGGAGGCUUUGAAGCGUGGACGCCAGUCUGCGUGGAGCCGACCUUGAAAUACCACCCUUUAAUGUUUGAUGUUCUAACGUGGACCCGUGAUCCGGGUUGCGGACAGUGUCUGGUGGGUAGUUUGACUGGGGCGGUCUCCUCCUAAAGAGUAACGGAGGAGCACGAAGGUUGGCUAAUCCUGGUCGGACAUCAGGAGGUUAGUGCAAUGGCAUAAGCCAGCUUGACUGCGAGCGUGACGGCGCGAGCAGGUGCGAAAGCAGGUCAUAGUGAUCCGGUGGUUCUGAAUGGAAGGGCCAUCGCUCAACGGAUAAAAGGUACUCCGGGGAUAACAGGCUGAUACCGCCCAAGAGUUCAUAUCGACGGCGGUGUUUGGCACCUCGAUGUCGGCUCAUCACAUCCUGGGGCUGAAGUAGGUCCCAAGGGUAUGGCUGUUCGCCAUUUAAAGUGGUACGCGAGCUGGGUUUAGAACGUCGUGAGACAGUUCGGUCCCUAUCUGCCGUGGGCGCUGGAGAACUGAGGGGGGCUGCUCCUAGUACGAGAGGACCGGAGUGGACGCAUCACUGGUGUUCGGGUUGUCAUGCCAAUGGCACUGCCCGGUAGCUAAAUGCGGAAGAGAUAAGUGCUGAAAGCAUCUAAGCACGAAACUUGCCCCGAGAUGAGUUCUCCCUGAGACUUAGAGUCUCCUGAAGGAACGUUGAAGACGACGACGUUGAUAGGCCGGGUGUGUAAGCGCAGCGAUGCGUUGAGCUAACCGGUACUAAUGAACCGUGAGGCUUAACCUUACAACGCCGAAG
rnacentral:rRNA from 1 species